UAGGGAAUCUUCCGCAAUGGGCGAAAGCCUGACGGAGCAACGCCGCGUGAGUGAUGAAGGUCUUCGGAUCGUAAAACUCUGUUAUUAGGGAAGAACAAAUGUGUAAGUAACUAUGCACGUCUUGACGGUACCUAAUCAGAAAGCCACGGCUAACUACGUGCCAGCAGCCGCGGUAAUACGUAGGUGGCAAGCGUUGUCCGGUUUUAUUGGGCGUAAAGCGAGCGCAGGCGGUCAAUUAAGUCUGAUGUGAAAGCCCCCGACUCAACCGGGGAGGGUCAUUGGAAACUGGUUGACUUGAGUGCAGAAGAGGAGGGUGGAAUUCCAUGUGUAGCGGUGAAAUGCGUAGUUAUAUGGAGGAACACCAGUGGCGAAGGCGACUCUCUGGUCUGUAACUGACGCUGAGGUUCGAAAGCGUGGGUAGCAAACAGG
rnacentral:rRNA from 1 species